rnacentral:misc_RNA from 1 species
UCCGGUUUGGCACCGGCAGUCCUUCCAGAGUCCUCGGCAUUACCCGGUAGCAACUGGAAGCGAGGGUUGCGCUCGUUGCGGGACUUAACCCAACAUCUCACGACACGAGCUGACGACAGCCAUGCAGCACCUGUGCACGAGUCCCGAAGGAGGCCCUCGGUUUCUCGAGGGUUUCUCGUGUAUGUCAAGCCUAGGUAAGGUUCUUCGCGUUGCGUCGAAUUAAACCACAUGCUCCACUGCUUGUGCGGGCCCCCGUCAAUUCCUUUGAGUUUCAGCCUUGCGGCCGUACUCCCCAGGCGGGGCACUUAAUGCGUUAGCGCCGGCACUCAGAUUGCUCCGAACAGCUAGUAUCCAUCGUUUACGGCGUGGACUAC